UCCAGGAGAUGUCGGAGUCAGAACAGAUUAAAUUUUGAAGUUGAGUCAGUGUAAAAACAGAGCAUGUUUUAAUGAUGUUUUUGGACUUCGGACUUUAAAGCGAACUAUUAUCAUUUAUUUCUUUAAAGCCACUGGUUUAUUUAAUUAAUUGGCUACUCUCUUUUGAGCCUAUUAAUUAUUUGAGGUUACGCUAGUAAUGAUGUAACGAAUUAUGGAUGCUAGAACCCUAAAACACUAAAAGAUACCCUAGGCACGUAGAAUUAGACUUUGUCUUAUGACAAUUACUUCACGAACUUAUCGACUCUUCAUCAAUGAAGGUCCGGGCGACAGAAAGUGAAGCCGAAGAAGAAACGACUCCACGCCAGCUUUAAGAACAAUUGAGGUGGGCAAUUUCUUACGCGUAAAUAAAAUGCUAUGCAUGCGUUAUGCUUUAAAAUGCAAAUUGGAUCUUCAAGUGUGGUAUGCUUUAUUAUGCUUUACGCUAAAUGAUUUACGCUUGAUUACGCUUAUUUACGCUUGAAUGCUUUACGCUGAUAAGUUUAUGCCUGUGAUUGAUGCUUGCGUCUGUUGGGGGAGGCCUCCCUCAACAGUACGAUGCCGUGUCCGCUGAGGAGGGCCUUCCUCACGGCGCGAUGCCCGUGUCCGCUGAGGGAGGCCUCCCUAGCGGCGCGAUGCCAGUAUUCCAGUGUUACAGCGUCUAUUGGGGGAGGCCUCCCUCAAUAGUACGAUGCCGUGACCGCUGAGGGAGGCCCCCUUCACGGCGCGAUGCCCGUGUUCGUUGGGGAAGGCCUUCUCCACGACACGAUGCGUGUUGAUGAUUGUUAAUGAUGAAGAAUGCGCUCAUGCUGUUUAUGAAUAUGGAAAUGUUUAAUGAGCAAAGGAUUUGAAAGAAACUUAUGCCUCUUAUGCGAAGUUGUGUUUUGUUGUUGAUAUUAUGUUAUAUGCUUGGCACUGCCCACUGAGUACUCUUGUACUCAGCCCUUCGUAUGUUUAUGUUUGUGCAGGUUGAGUUGUGAUGGGCGAUGAAGUGUUGCUGAGUGGAGUUUUUGUUGAACUUAAAGAAGGCUCAGAAAGGAUACAUGUCUUCAUACAUGUAUCUCAGUUAUGCAUUCCGCUGUAAACACUGAUUAUUUCAAUUACACCUUCCGUUGCAAACUCUGAUAAUGUUUUAGCCAAGCCCC
rnacentral:lncRNA from 1 species